rnacentral:rRNA from 1 species
AUGGACCUUGAUUAUGCACUUAGGGAAAAAGCUUCGGUUCCUUUGUCCUCUGAUGAUGAGAACCUUGCUGAGAAAACUAAGGUUUAUGAGGCUAAUAAGGAGAAGUGGGAGCGCUCCAAUCGCUUGUCUCUCAUGAUCAUGAAAAGCACAAUUACUCUUGGGAUUAGGGGAGCAAUCCUUGAUUCUGAAUGUGCUAAUACUUAUCUAGCGUCGCUGGAUGAGCAAUUUAAAGGAUCAACAAAAGUUUAUGCUAGUAUGUUGAUCAUGAAAAUGCUCACCACUAAGUAUGAUGGUAAAAGCGGCGUGAGAUAA